AUUAGAUAAAAAACCAUGGCCCUCCGGGGCUUUCUGGUGAUUCAUAAUAACUAAACGAAUCGCAUGGCCUUGAGCCGGCGAUGGUUCAUUCAAAUUUCUGCCCUAUCAACUUUCGAUUGUAGGAUAGAGGCCUACAAUGGUUUCAACGGGUAACGGAGAAUUAGGGUUCGGUUCCGGAGAGGGAGCCUGAGAAACGGCUACCACAUCCAAGGAAGGCAGCAGGCGCGCAAAUUACCCAAUCCCGACACGGGGAGGUAGUGACAAUAAAUACUGAUACAGGGCUCUUUUGGGUCUUGUAAUUGGAAUGAGUACAAUUUAAAUCCCUUAACGAGGAACAAUUGGAGGGCAAGUCUGGUGCCAGCAGCCGCGGUAAUUCCAGCUCCAAUAGCGUAUAUUAAAGUUGUUGCAGUUAAAAAGCUCGUAGUUGAACCUUGGGUCUGGCUGGUCGGUCCGCCUCACCGCGUGUACUGAUCCGGCCGGACCUUUCCUCUUGGGGAUCCGCAUGCCCUUUACUGGG
rnacentral:rRNA from 1 species